GGUGCUGCUGGACGGGCGCAUGCGCAUCAAGAAGAAUUUCAGCCUAUACAGGUCUGCCUUUUGGAAUGAGAGCAAGUUAAAUCGAUCAUCGAUGAUCAAUUGGAGGGCAAGUCUGGUGCCAGCAGCCGCGGUAAUUCCAGCUCCAAUAGCGUAUAUUAAAGUUGUUGCAGUUAAAAAGCUCGUACUUGGAUUUCUGGCUGGGCAUGUGCGUCCGCUCUUUGAGUUUGCACCAUACAUGUCUGGCCAUCCUUUGGGAGAGCCACAGUGNCAUUAAGUUGUUGGUGUGGGGAUCUCAAUCCUUUACUGUGAAGAAAUUAGAGUGUUCAAAGCAGGCUUACGACGUUGAAUAUAUUAGCAUGGAAUAAUGACAUAGGACUUUUGUACUAUUUUGUUGGUUUGCGAGCAAAAGUAAUAAUUAACAGGAACAGUUGGGGUUAUUUGUAUCCAUUUCAGA
rnacentral:rRNA from 1 species